rnacentral:tmRNA from 1 species
GGGGGCGUAAAGGUUUCGACGGGGAGUGUAAGCUUCGGCAAGCGAGCAGCGGCACUGUGGAACCGCUAUAAAAUCCGCAGAUUUAAACAAUAAACGACAACAAUAAAACUGUUGCUAUUGCUGCCUAAUUAGCGGCAAUCGUUUUUAACGGAAGUACCACGAUCCGUUAAGGGCGUUGAUUAGUGGUGAACGUGAAUAAAGCAGUGCUUCGGGCUUUAUCACGGAUCAGAAGCUACCGUAGUACGAAGUCUGUUGCCGGACGUCGUGUGAGGGGAAUCUUAAUACAGCAACUACGCUCGUAGAAAACCGUUGUAAGUACUUUUCGGACAGGAGUUCGACUCUCCUCGCCUCCACCA